rnacentral:rRNA from 1 species
AACGAACGCUGGCGGCAGGCCUAACACAUGCAAGUCGAGCGGACCCUUCGGGGUUAGCGGCGGACGGGUGAGUAACGCGUGGGAAUAUGCCCUUCUCUACGGAAUAGUUCUGGGAAACUGGGGGUAAUACCGUAUACGCCCUUUGGGGGAAAGAUUUAUCGGGGAUGGAUGAGCCCUCGUUGGAUUAGGUAGUUGGUGGGGUAAUGGCCUACCAAGCCGACGAUCCCUAGCUGGGUUGAGAGACAGAUCAGCCACACUGGGACUGAGAAACGGCCCAGAAUCCUACGGGAGGCAGGAGUGGGGGAUCGUAGAAAAUGGGGGCAAUCCUGAUCUAGCCAUGCCGCGUGAGUGCUGAAGGCAUUAGGGUUGUAAAGCUCUUUCAGCUGGGAAGAUAAUGACGGUACCAGCAGAAGAAGCCCCGGCUAACUCCGUG